rnacentral:lncRNA from 1 species
CUCUAGAUCAUCCUUUAGAAAGGUUUAAGAGAUUUGAAGAAAAGAUCCAGAUCAGUCAAGAAGAUGGUCUUCACGCGAGCUAGCACUCUCGAGAAGAUCGAUCAGAUCGAAGCUUCGAGUGGACCUUCCAUAGAGGUCAGACACAUGUGCAGCUAUAAGCAACCAGCAAGGAUCAUCUUUACCACAUCUCUCAGUAACAACCAUCAUCGAUCCAUACUCAGAUAUCGAGUUCUGAAUUCAGAUAGAUGUAGAUUUGAUCUACUACUGACAUGUAUGCAUGCAGAUUUUAUUUUGUAAUUUUUUUAGAUUUUAUAUGCAACAUAUCAUGUCUUAAAUCUUAGAGUAGA